rnacentral:lncRNA from 1 species
CCAGCUGCUGCCUAAUGGAGUCCAGGCGCUCGCGUCACAGGAAAUGCCUAUACUGCCCUCCUCACUCACUUCCGGUGGCAGGUCAAAAGAAUACAGCUCAAGGUGAUAGUAUGAAGCAGAUCUAUUUGGCAUCUGUAAGGCAUUGGAAGUUGCAUCUCUUGUGGAAGGAUCUAAUACCAUGAUCAGAAGAACUUUGGAUACGUCUUUUCACUGUGACGUUGCGGUAUACGCUUGACAAGUUUUGAAAAGAGAUUUUUCUACCGACUCUACCGACUAACAUUUCGUCUGUGAAGCCAGGAGUCUCCGUAAAGGUUAAAAAUAAUUCAGCUGUAUUGUGUUGAACUUGAUUGAAGUGUCGUGAACAGUGUCUGGAGGGCAGAAGAACCAGUUCUGUCUUGUUGCGAUGGGUUUAGUCUGUUUACUUUCCUGGUGCCCCGUCGCUGAAGCUGGGGCUGAGAGGCCUGCUGAGGAAUGUUUCUUCCGGAGUUCCGACAGGCUCAGCUAUUUGUCCCAGCCUCCGAAGCUGCUUGGCUACAGGCCCACACAAAGUGCUAUAAGAAUUCAGAGGACAGAGAGAACAUUUCUGGCAGUGGACAGAGUCCUGAGUGAGCACAGAACGCAUUAUGGAAUCUGGACAUGAGGUGAGUCUCAAAGGACUGGGAAUAUUUGUUAGGGAGCAAUUGAUGGAUGUGUGUUGGGGUGGGUGUCCUCACCGGGGGACAUGCCAGAUGAGGGGGUGGCAGGAGUCCCAGCUCAAGGGUUGAAAUGCCAGCCGGAGAGCAGACCUAUUUGGCCAAACCGUGAGAGAGUGAGAGGUAAGAUCAGAAAUGCAUAUGGGAUCAGUGGGUGGGAGCCAAGUAUCAACGGUCCUGUUCAUUAUUGGGAAUUUCUGAUGAUUUUGGAUGUUAUCAAAGAGAUGCUCUAGGGAGGUUAACAGAGAGAUGGUAUGCAAUGGUGGAGGGUG